UCAAAGGAAGUUGACGGGGAGCACCACAACGGGUGGAGCUUGCGGUUUAAUUGGAUUCAACGCCGGAAAUCUUACCGGGACCGACAGCAAUAUGAAGGCCAGGCUGAAGACUUUGCCGGAUUAGCUGAGAGGUGGUGCAUGGCCGUCGUCAGUUCGUACUGUGAAGCAUCCUGUUAAGUCAGGCAACGAGCGAGACCCACGCCCACAGUUGCCAGCGUACUCUCUGGAGUGACGGGUACACUGUGGGGACCGCCGCUGCUAAAGCGGAGGAAGGAAUGGGCAACGGUAGGUCAGUAUGCCCCGAAUAUCCCGGGCUACACGCGAGCUACAAUGGUUGGUACAAUGGGUAUCUACCCCGAAAGGGGACGGGAAUCUCCUAAAACCAAUCUUAGUUCGGAUUGAGGGCUGCAACUCGCCCUCAUGAAGCUGGAAUCCGUAGUAAUCGCGUUUCAACAGAACGCGGUGAAUACGUCCCUGCUCCUU
rnacentral:rRNA from 1 species